AUAAAAGUUUGUUAUGUUGUAUGAAUUAUGAUUGUGUUUAUCAUCUGAGUAUUUCAGCAUUACUGUGAAUCUGUGAUAGCUAUAAUUUAGAUAUUAUGAACCUUGAAUUAAUGAAAUGUGAUUAGAGUUCAAGUUGAGUCUGGAGAAGGAUUUCAAUAACAGGGAAAUGUUGGUGGAGAAAAUGAGGAUUUGAAGCUCAUUUUGUGAUUAAAAUUUAUAGAUCAUCUCAAGAGCGCAAGCAGAAAUGGAUGGAAGGUUCUGGGAACUGUUGGAGGAGGAAAGCAUGCCAGUGUUGGAGGUUUUAAUAAUAACUGUUCUUGGAGAUUUCAUGGCAACCAAGCAUUGCAAUCUUCUAUCUGUUGAUGCUCGCAAACACAUGAACAAGAUAUGUUUCGUAGUAUUCUCUCCAGCUCUGGUGUUUGCAAGUCUCUCGAAAACUGUUACACUUCAAGACAUCAUUUCAUGAUGAGUAUAAAGCACUACAGGCGUCAAAAGAAACUCUAGCAGUCCAAAAUGAACCCAACCAAGAUUUGGAUGCUACUCAGGAAUCCCACCUUCUCAUAUCAGCAGACAAACAAGAUCAAGACCAAGAAGCUAUCCAUUUUCAGUCAACAAAGAGCAUCAAUGAUAAUGAAUUUACAAACAAUCAACCUAUUGUACGACACAUGUCUAUUACUGGGAAGAUCAGAAACGUAACAUUCUUGGCCAAACUAAAGGGUUUUCUUCAUCUGAUUGGGGAAGAACUAAUUACACCUCCUACCAUUGCAGCAGUAAAUUAUAAUCUGAUGAUUCAUUUGCAAUCUUCUACUAUCUUGUACAGCUAAUUCAGUUCUAGUUAAUAGGUUAUAGGGCUCAUCUUCGGAGCAGUUACGUUGCUGAAAAACCAAUUUAAUUUAAUAUCUCAUACUAUUGGUUCAUGAUAGGGUUAGAAUUAUUUAAGGUUUUGGAAUUAUAUAUUUUGGGAUUUUACGUGUCACUAUAAAUCUUAGAUUUUAUAUGAAAAUUUGUUGAAGUGAAAUGAACAGCAUCACUAAAGAAUUUAAACACGAUGGCAGGUGACAUUUUGGCCUGUUUUUAGGGCACUAUAGGUUUUGAUUGGGAUUAAGUUUCCUUCCUUUGAAAAGUACAACUCUGAAUGACGAUGGAAAUGCGGUGUUAAGUGUUCCACUCUAUUUUUAUACGUUGUGAUAUGUACCAGUUUUAGAGAUUGUUGUUCUGCACCUAUGGCAGUUGCAUUUUCGCCGAGUUGACAUGUUUACAUCUUGAGUUAGCCUUAGGCUUAUACUAUUAAUUUUUAGAGAUUUCUCCAACGGUUCCAGUUUGACAUUAACUGCUACAACACGAUAUUUAUAGGUUGUAAUUAAGAGUUAGAUCAGUUUGUAAUGUUCUGUUUAGGUCGGUUUCGGUUGAAUUAUUCUGUUUUUCUGACUUCACUUCUAUGUGCUUAAGAUGAAUUGUUAUGUAAAUUAGUAUCAAUUUAUAAGCUUGCAGAGGUAGCUCUCUUUAAUUUUAGUCUUCUUGAUAAAUCAUUAUUGAAGUAAUUGUAUCUAAUUUUAUGAUCCCAUAACUCGUAAGUCAAGCCUAAUUCAUGACUAUAUGGGUUCACAAUGCAUUUUUAUUUCAACUUAAAGCUUAUAAAAUGCGGUGUUAAGUUCCCCACUCUGUUUUCAUACGUUGUGAUAUACACCAAUUUUAGAGAUUGUUGUUCUGCACCUUUGGCAGUUGCGAUUUCGGCGGGUUGACAUGUUUACAUCUUGAGUUAGCCUUAGGCUUCUACCGUUAAUUUUUAGAGAUUUCUCCAACGGUUCCAGUUUGACAUUAAGUGUUAUAGCACGAUAUUUAUAGGUUGUAAUUAAGAGUUAGAUCAGUUUGUAAUGUUCUGUUUAGGUCAGUUUCGGUUGAAUUGUUCUGUUUUUCUGACUUCACUUAUAUGUGCUUAAGAUGAAUUGUUAUGUAAAUUAAUAUCAAUUUAUAAGCUUGCAGAGGUAGCUCUCUUUAAUUUUAGUCUCCUUGAUAAAUCAUUAUUGAAGUAAUUGUAUCUAAUUUUAUGAUCCCAUAACUCAUAAGUCAAGCCUAAUUCAUGACUAUAUGGGUUCACGAUGCAUUUUAAUUUCAACUUAAAACUUAUAAAAUGCAAAGACGUUCAGUUAAAUAAUGUUCCAUCUGAAAUGUGUAACUAUGAAUCUUUGCAGGUUCAAGAUUAUAGAGAAGUCUGGUCCCUUUCAGUUACUCAGACCAAUGCUGGAAGUUAUUAAGCAAGAGCAAAACAUUAAGCAAGAGAAGGCAUAGAUUGUUAUGUGAGUUCCGUGCUUGUUUUGUUUUAUUCUUAUAUGCUCAUAGUUGUAAACAAUUGUUGUAUGAGAUUUGUGCUGCACAUAACUUAGGAAUCCUCUUUAAGUUUCUAAGCGGAUGUUGUAUUCCACAAAACUUAGGAAUUUUCUUAAGUAGUUGUUGAAAGGUUGUCCACUGUGUAAUAUAAUUUAUGUGGAUUGAAUGAAAGGCUCU